AUUGAACGCUGGCGGCAUGCCUUACACAUGCAAGUCGAACGGCAGCACGGGGCAACCUGGUGGCGAGUGGCGAACGGGUGAGUAAUGCAUCGGAUCGUACCUUUCAGUGGGGGAUAACGUAGCGAAAGUUACGCUAAUACCGCAUAUUCUGUGAGCAGGAAAGCAUGGGAACGCAAGACCUUGCGCUGAUUGAGCGGCCGAUGUCAGAUUAGCUAGUUGGUAAGGUAAAGGCUCACCAAGGCGACGAUCUGUAGCGGGUCUGAGAGGAUGAUCCGCCACACUGGAACUGAGACACGGUCCAGACUCCUACGGGAGGCAGCAGUGGGGAAUUUUGGACAAUGGGGGCAACCCUGAUCCAGCCAUGCCGCGUGAGUGAAGAAGGCCUUCGGGUUGUAAAGCUCUUUCGGCCGGGAAGAAAUCGCACGGGCUAAUACCCUGUGUGGAUGACGGUACCGGAAUAAGAAGCACCGGCUAACUACGUGCCAGCCGCCGCCGUAACAC
rnacentral:rRNA from 1 species